GUCACCGAUUUUAAUAAAACUUUGGUAAAUUAAUACAUACUACUAGUCAAGUAUACUGGUAUAUGCAAAAUGACGGGAUACUGCUGUUUCCAUGGAAAGCAGCAAGUCAUACUUUUGUCACAUUUGCUAGUAUUUCCUUUAUAAUGUAUGUAGCUGAAACUCAAAAACGCAGCGACACCAUUUAACAAAACUAAUCCUGUAAAAAGAUUAUAGAUAUAUAAGUUGACUUUUAAAAAAUUGGAGAUGUGUUAUUUAAAAUAAAGAAAAUAAAGCCUUGUAAAUUUGCUGUUUUUCAAGAGAAAAGUGCUAAAUUUCAUCAAGAGUUAUUUCCCUUGGUGUAACUCUUUUGUGUUUCCUGUGAAAAAAGGAAUGUUUUUUGCCAGCAGAAGACUUUCAGAUUGGUUUGCUGCUUCGUUUUUACUACAAAUUCCACUUGUCAGAAGAUGUAUUUAAUUUGAAUUCAGCUGAUUUGAAAAAUAAGGACAUAAUACUAAAAGAAUGUGGUAUUUUGCGGUCCAGUUCUGAAAAUAGGCAAAUUUGUUCCACACAUUUUUCUCUGCCGUUGAAACAAAACAGUGACUGAGUGAUGAACGAAGAAGAAAUUAGGUGUCAAGUGCCAUUCCUUAUUUUAAAAAAUCUGGUGAAUAAUAAUGCAUUCCAUGAAAAGUAGAAAUCCAACAGACCGAUCCCUGUCAAUGGUCACAGGUGUACUCAAAAUACACAGAGGCUAGAGGACUUGUUCUUCCUCUCUAUGCACCAGCCUGUCUUCUGAAGUUGAAUGGUCAAACAAUAUGAAGAGGAAGAAAAUCUAGCUUGCAAUCAAAACACAGAAAAUAUGAUCAGGCUUGCUCAGUCACACCUUAGUGAACAUGAAGAGCUACUUCAUUCAAGGCCAUGAUAUGUUAUAACAGCUGAUUCAAUGAAAGCGCAAGGUUUUUGAACAGUCUCUGAAAAUUGUCAAGUAAAGAGUCAGAGUGGUUGUAGAUGCAUGCACAGAAAAUGAAGAAAAAACUCUACUGAAACCAUGGCUUAGAUAUCAACCUAAAAUAACUUCUCUUCUCAAUUACAUCUCUUUCCCAAGUAUUCCAAAGGAGGAUCUUUUUCAAAUUCAAAGUCAAGUACACUGUAUCACAGGGAGCAUGUGAGAUUGUGAAACAGUCUGCCUACAAAAAUUAAAAGGGAGGAAAAUAUCUACACAUGAACCAAAGAUGGUUGCACACUAUUGUUCUCUGUAUAUUUUCCCUAUGGUUUUCAUGUACAGUCUUCUGCGUGAUUGUUAAGUUUGGUGUAGUAGUAGAAUUCUCCUUACCUUGUGUAGAAGUUUUACAAUUUAAAUUCUGAUAUAAAAUCCUGUUUUUAAUGGGCCACUCUCCUUGUAAACAGAUUGAUGUCAAAAUAUCUCUCAACAUUGAAUACUUAUCAAAUUGUUUAACCGAAU